rnacentral:tRNA from 1 species
GGCUGAAAUAGCUCAGUUGGGAGAGUGAUAGACUGAAGAUCUAAAGGUCCGUGGUUCAAUCCCGGGUUUCGCCA